rnacentral:rRNA from 1 species
AUACGUAGGGUGCGAGCGUUGUCCGGAAUUACUGGGCGUAAAGAGCUCGUAGGUGGUUUGUCGCGUCGUCUGUGAAAUUCCGGGGCUUAACUCCGGGCGUGCAGGCGAUACGGGCAUAACUUGAGUACUGUAGGGGAGACUGGAAUUCCUGGUGUAGCGGUGAAAUGCGCAGAUAUCAGGAGGAACACCGGUGGCGAAGGCGGGUCUCUGGGCAGUAACUGACGCUGAGGAGCGAAAGCAUGGGUAGCGAACAGGAUUAGAUACCCUGGUAGUCCAUGCCGUAAACGGUGGGCGCUAGGUGUAGGGGUCUUCCACGACUUCUGUGCCGUAGCUAACGCAUUAAGCGCCCCACCUGGGGAGUACGGCCGCAAGGUUGAAACUCAAAUGAAUUGGCGGGG